rnacentral:tRNA from 1 species
GACGGUGUAGCUCAGUGGCAGAGCGCGUGCUUAGCAUGCGUGAGGUCUUGGGUUCAACCCCUGGUGCCUCCA